GACGAACGCUGGCGGCGUGCUUAACACAUGCAAGUCGAACGAUGAAGGAGGAGCUUGCUCCUCUGGAUUAGUGGCGAACGGGUGAGUAACACGUGAGCAAUCUGCCCUUGACUCUGGGAUAAGCGCUGGAAACGGCGUCUAAUACCGGAUACGACCCUCGGAGGCAUCUCCUGUGGGUGGAAAGAACUUCGGUCAAGGAUGAGCUCGCGGCCUAUCAGCUUGUUGGUGAGGUAAUGGCUCACAAAGGCGACGACGGGUAGCCGGCCUGAGAGGGUGACCGGCCACACUGGGACUGAGACACGGCCCAGACUCCUACGGGAGGCAGCAGUGGGGAAUAUUGCACAAUGGGCGCAAGCCUGAUUCAGCAACGCCGCGUGAGGGACGACGGCCUUCGGGUUGUAAACCUCUUUUAGCAGGGAAGAAGCGAGAGUGACGGUACCUGCAGAAAAAGCACCGGCUAACUACGUGCCAGCCGCCGCCGUAACAC
rnacentral:rRNA from 1 species